rnacentral:lncRNA from 1 species
GAGUAAUGGGGAUUGAACUCAGGGGCACUCGACCACUGAACCACAUCCCCAGCCCUAUUUCAUAUUUUAUUUAGAGAUAGGGUCUCCUUGAGUUGCUUGGGGCCUUGCUUUUUCUGAGGAUGGCUUUGAACUCCAGAUCCUCCUGCCUCAGCCUCCUGAGCUGCUGGGAUUACAGGCGUGUGCCAGCGUGUCCAACCUGACUCCAUCUUUGAUGUUUGCUGACAGCUUUCAUUUCCACCUCUCCUCUUACCCGUCCUGCCCCACUAAAUUGGUAAGAAAGCCAGAGUACUUCUUCCUUUGGCACUGGUAGGAAGCUCAAACCACGAAAGUCCCAGCCAGUAUCUGGGAAUCCUUACCAGGCUCAUCCAAACCCCAAGCCAGUCACCCCACCCUGUGUUCUCUUAAGCCAUCUUUUAGACUUUCUUGGUGAGCCUGCCCUGCUUUCUCCAGAAAGCCUCAUUUUUCUCUAGAUGUCUGUUUGGUAUCAUCUGUCUUAAUGCUCAAACCAAAUUUUGGAUGUGUGUGGUCUAUGUGUGUUUCUGAGGGACAGCUAGAACAGAGUCUCUAUUAGCAUGCAUGAUAGGUGGCACAGGGUUCUCACCUUUAUCCCCACCCCCUGAUUUGUUGGGGAUUGAAUCCAGAGUCUUGUGUAUGCAAAGCAAGCACUCUACCAAUUGAGCUCUAUUUCCAGGCCCCCACAUAUACUUUUUCUGUGAGUGAGAAAUAAACUCCUAUUAUGUUAAGCUACUGAGAUUUCAGGGUUUAUCUGUCAUAGCAUCUAGGGUUACCUUUACUAAUAUACCCAUGAUUUUCUAGAUCCAAUCCUUUUCUGUCUAUUUAACUCAAGUAUCUUAAGUAGCAUUUUGGAAAUCUGAAAAUAAAAAAAAUCCUGGCUAUAGAGAGGGUGUUCUUUGUCAGCAAAGAGAUUAUGGAUUGUGAAGUCAUUUGAUUUAGGACAUGGGGACAAAGAUCCUGUAAUUCUGGAUGAUGGAUCUUUUCUUUGUCCUACAGAAUCAAUAUAUUUUUAUCCAUUCUUAGUAUUUUCCCAUGGCAAAAGGACAGGAAGGAGAGAGUUACAUAUGUUAUGAAAUACUAGGUGGGGGAGAGACAGGAAACACCCAUUACAGUAUAAUCAGCCACCAAAAAAACACCCCACAAAUGGGUGGAGCUGAAGAACAUCGUGCUAAAUGAAAUAAGCUAGGCUCAAAAAGUCAAG